ACUCCUACGGGAGGCAGCAGUGGGGAAUAUUGGACAAUGGGCGCAAGCCUGAUCCAGCAAUGCCGCGUGAGUGAUGAAGGCCUUCGGGUUGUAAAGCUCUUUCGCACGCGACGAUGAUGACGGUAGCGUGAGAAGAAGCCCCGGCUAACUUCGUGCCAGCAGCCGCGGUAAUACGAAGGGGGCUAGCGUUGUUCGGAAUUACUGGGCGUAAAGGGCGCGUAGGCGGUGUGUCAAGUCAGGCGUGAAAGCCCCGGGCUCAACCUGGGAACAGCGCUUGAGACUGGCACGCUCGAGUUCGGGAGAGGAUGGUGGAAUUCCCAGUGUAGAGGUGAAAUUCGUAGAUAUUGGGAAGAACACCGAUGGCGAAGGCAGCCAUCUGGACCGACACUGACGCUGAGGCGCGAAAGCGUGGGGAGCAAACAGGAUUAGAUACCCUGGUAGGCGUAG
rnacentral:rRNA from 1 species